rnacentral:rRNA from 1 species
GACGAACGCUGGCGGCGUGCCUAAUACAUGCAAGUUGAGCGCUGAAGGUUGGUACUUGUACCAACUGGAUGAGCAGCGAACGGGUGAGUAACGCGUGGGGAAUCUGCCUUUGAGCGGGGGACAACAUUUGGAAACGAAUGCUAAUACCGCAUAAAAACUUUAAACACAAGUUUUAAGUUUGAAAGAUGCAAUUGCAUCACUCAAAGAUGAUCCCGCGUUGUAUUAGCUAGUUGGUGAGGUAAAGGCUCACCAAGGCGAUGAUACAUAGCCGACCUGAGAGGGUGGUCGGCCGCAUUGGGACUGAGACACGGCACAAACUCCUACGGGAGGCAGCAGUAGGGAAUCUUCGGCAAUGGACGAAAGUCUGACCGAGCAACGCCGCGUGAGUGAAGAAGGUUUUCGGAUCGUAAAAAUCUGUUGGUAGAGAAGAACGUUGGUGAGAGUGGAAAGCUCAUCAAGUGACGGUAACUACCCAGAAAGGGACGGCUAACUACGUG